AAUACGACUCUCGGCAACGGAUAUCUCGGCUCUCGCAUCGAUGAAGAACGUAGCGAAAUGCGAUACGUGGUGUGAAUUGCAGAAUCCCGUGAACCAUCGAGUCUUUGAACGCAAGUUGCGCCCAAGGGACCCUCCCGAGGGCACGCCUGCCUCAUGGGCGUUAGAA
rnacentral:rRNA from 6 species